rnacentral:rRNA from 1 species
UACGAAGGGGGCUAGCGUUGCUCGGAAUUACUGGGCGUAAAGGGAGCGUAGGCGGGUUGACAAGUUGGAGGUGAAAGCCCAGGGCUCAACCCUGGAAUUGCCUUCAAAACUGUCAGCCUUGAGUAUGGAAGAGGUAAGUGGAACUCCGAGUGUAGAGGUGAAAUUCGUAGAUAUUCGGAAGAACACCAGUGGCGAAGGCG